GACGAACGCUGGCGGCGUGCUUAACACAUGCAAGUCGAACGGAAAGGCCCUGCACUUGUGGGGUGCUCGAGUGGCGAACGGGUGAGUAACACGUGAGUAAACUGCGCUUGACUUUGGGAUAACUUCAGGAAAAUGGGGCUAAUACAGGAUAGGAGCUCCUGCUGCAUGGGGGGGGUUGGAAAGUUUCGGCGGUUGGGGAUGGACUCGCGGCUUAUCAGCUUGUUGGUGGGGUAGUGGCUUACCAAGGCUUUGACGGGUAGCCGGCCUGAGAGGGUGACCGGCCACAUUGGGACUGAGAUACGGCCCAGACUCCUACGGGAGGCAGCAGUGGGAAAUAUUGCACAAUGGGCGGAAGCCUGAUGCAGCAACGCCGCGUGCGGGAUGACGGCCUUCGGGUUGUAAACCGCUUUCGCCUGUGACGAAGCGUGAGUGACGGUAAUGGGUAAAGAAGCACCGGCUAACUACGUG
rnacentral:rRNA from 1 species